rnacentral:rRNA from 1 species
UGUUUGAUGUUCUAACGUUGGCCCCUGAUCGGGGUUGCGGACAGUGUCUGGUGGGUAGUUUGACUGGGGCGGUCUCCUCCUAAAGAGUAACGGAGGAGCACGAAGGUUGGCUAAUCCUGGUCGGACAUCAGGAGGUUAGUGCAAUGGCAUAAGCCAGCUUGACUGCGAGCGUGACGGCGCGAGCAGGUGCGAAAGCAGGUCAUAGUGAUCCGGUGGUUCUGAAUGGAAGGGCCAUCGCUCAACGGAUAAAAGGUACUCCGGGGAUAACAGGCUGAUACCGCCCAAGAGUUCAUAUCGACGGCGGUGUUUGGCACCUCGAUGUCGGCUCAUCACAUCCUGGGGCUGAAGUAGGUCCCAAGGGUAUGGCUGUUCGCCAUUUAAAGUGGUACGCGAGCUGGGUUUAGAACGUCGUGAGACAGUUCGGUCCCUAUCUGCCGUGGGCGCUGGAGAACUGAGGGGGGCUGCUCCUAGUACGAGAGGACCGGAGUGGACGCAUCACUGGUGUUCGGGUUGUCAUGCCAAUGGCACUGCCCGGUAGCUAAAUGCGGAAGAGAUAAGUGCUGAAAGCAUCUAAGCACGAAACUUGCCCCGAGAUGAGUUCUCCCUGAGACUUUA